UACGUAGGGCGCAAGCGUUGUCCGGAAUUAUUGGGCGUAAAGAGCUCGUAGGCGGCCUGUUACGUCUGCUGUGAAAUCCCGGGGCUUAACCCCGGGCGUGCAGUGGAUACGGGCAGGCUGGAGGCAGGCAGGGGAGAACGGAAUUCCCGGUGUAGCGGUGAAAUGCGCAGAUAUCGGGAGGAACACCGUGGCGGCAGGAAGGUCGC
rnacentral:rRNA from 1 species